GGAGAGAUGCCGGAGUGGUCGAACGGGCAUGACUGGAAAUCAUGUGUAGGGGUAACUCUACCGAGGGUUCGAAUCCCUCUCUCUCCGCCA
rnacentral:tRNA from 1 species